AGUGAAGAAAUGAAAAGCAGGAAACACCUGCUUCUGUCGCGUUAUCUGAGCCGUCACUCAGUUUGGCGGAACUUCUUUUUUUCCCUUUCAAAAGUGUUAAAUGGAUUGGGUAAAGGGUGAGAAGAAGAUGAAGAAUGAGAAGGAGA
ensembl:ncRNA F09D5.5 ncRNA